AUGAGAGUUUCUAGUGGGCCAUUUUUGGUAAGCAGAACUGGCGAUGCGGGAUGAACCGAACGCGAGGUUAAGGUGCCGGAAUACACGCUCAUCAGACACCACAAAAGGUGUUAGUUCAUCUAGACAGCAGGACGGUGGCCAUGGAAGUCGGAAUCCGCUAAGGAGUGUGUAACAACUCACCUGCCGAAUGAACUAGCCCUGUAAAUGGUUGGCGCUUAAGCGUAGUACCCAUACUUCACCGCCAGGGUAGAAACGAUGCCCUGGCGAGUAGGCAGGCGUGGAGGU
rnacentral:rRNA from 1 species